rnacentral:rRNA from 1 species
ACGGAAGGCAGCAGUGGGGGAUAUUGCACAAUGGGGGAAACCCUGAUGCAGCGACGCCGCGUGAGCGAUGAAGUAUUUCGGUAUGUAAAGCUCUAUCAGCAGGGAAGAAAAUGACGGUACCUGACUAAGAAGCACCGGCUAAAUACGUGCCAGCAGCCGCGGUAAUACGUAUGGUGCAAGCGUUAUCCGGAUUUACUGGGUGUAAAGGGAGCGUAGACGGCAUGGCAAGCCAGAUGUGAAAUGCGGGGGCUCAACUCCUGAACUGCAUUUGGAACUGUCAAGCUAGAGUAUCGGAGAGGUAAGUGGAAUUCCUAGUGUAGCGGUGAAAUGCGUAGAUAUUAGGAAGAACACCAGUGGCGAAGGCGGUUAGCUGGACAAUAACUGACGCUGAGGCGCGAAAGCGUGGGUAGCAAACAGGAUUAGAUACCCUGGUA